UACGGGGGGGGCAAGCGUUGUUCGGAAUUACUGGGCGUAAAGGGCGCGUAGGCGGUUCGUUAAGUCCUGUGUGAAAUCCCCCGGCUCAACUGGGGAACUGCACAGGAAACUAGCGGGCUUGAGUUCGGGAGAGGGAAGCGGAAUUCCCGGUGUAGAGGUGAAAUUCGUAGAUAUCGGGAGGAACACCGGUGGCGAAGGCGGCGAUCUGGGUAGAUACUGACGCUGAGGUGCGAAAGCGUGGGGAGCAAACAGG
rnacentral:rRNA from 1 species